GGAAAACACCAUGGUUCAGUGGCAGGGAAUCUGCUUUGCAUGCAGAAGGUCCCGGGUUCAACCCCCGGCCUCUCCA